UGGCUCAGGAUGAACGCUAGCGGCGCGCUUAACGCAUGCAAGUCGAGCGAUGAGGCUCCCUUCGGGGAGUCAUCAGCGGCAGACGGGUGAGUAACACGUAGAUAACCUGCCCUCAAGACGGGGACAACCGGUGGAAACAGCGGCUAAUACCCGAUAUGCUCACAGGAUCGGGAGGUCGAGUGAGGAAAGCGCCCCUUCGGGGGAGAGUGUUUGAGGAGGGAUCUGCGGCCCAUCAGCUAGUUGGUGAGGUAACGGCUCACCAAGGCGAAGACGGGUAGGGGGUGUGAGAGCAUGGACCCCCACAAUGGGACUGAGACACGGCCCAUACUCCUACGGGAGGCAGCAGCGGGGAAUAUUGCGCAAUGGACGGAAGUCAGACGCAGCGACGCCGAGUGGGUGAGGAAGGCCUACGGGUUGUAAAGCCCUUAUCAGGGGAGCGAGAAAGGACGGUACCCUUGGAAUAAGCGUCGGCUAACUACGUGCCAGCAACCGACGGUCAGACGUAGGACGCAAGCGUUAUCCGGAUAUACUGGGCGUAAAGAGC
rnacentral:rRNA from 1 species